CUUUCCGUUGCCUCGACGAUAAACAAAAGUAAACAACAGUUUGGCCGCCCCGCCCCCUUGGGCUCGAUUUCUGCUGGAAGCAACCGCCACUUGAACUCUUUCUCCUCUCUCUCUGUCUGCCAAAAUUCUCGUACAAUCAUGUAUACGAAUAAUAGUGGUAAUAGUAGUGAAGGUGAAGUUGAAGUGAAGAGACUGUUUAUAGGAGCAGGUUGCAACAGAAUAGUGAACAACGUCUCGUGGGGAGCCUGUGAUUUGGUUUCUUUCGGUGCUCAAAAUGCCGUUGCUAUUUUCUGCCCCAAGACUGCUCAGAUUUUGACUACUCUUCCCGGUCAUAAGGCCUCCAUCAAUUGCACCCACUGGAUUCCAAGCAAUAAGUUUGCUUUUAGAGUUCUUACUGAAUGAGCUUUCUCGUUCGUCAACAGCAAAAUACUUGGAGCAGCAUUUUCUGCUCUCUGGAGAUGCUGAUGGUGCCAUUAUUCUAUGGGAAUUAUCUCUUGCGAACAAAAAGUGGAGACAAGUGUUACAAUUGCCAAAAUCACACAAGAAGGGUGUUACGUGCAUCAAUGGAAUCAUGGUUUCUCAAACUGAAGCAAUCUUUGCAUCUACUUCUUCUGAUGGUGCAGUUUAUAUAUGGGAACUAAUCCUCCCUCCUUCUACUGGAGGUGAAUGCAAAUUGUCAUGUGUAGAGACCCUCUUUGUUGGUUCAAAGCCUAUGGUGUCUCUGUCAUUGGCAGAAUUACCUGGAAAUUCUGGGUAUAUAGUCCUUGCAAUGGGGGGACUAGAUAGCAAGGUUCAUCUUUACUGUGGAGAGAGGAAUGGAAAGUUUAUUCAUGCUUGUGAGUUAAAAGCACAUACUGAUUGGAUCCGGAGUUUGGACUUCUCAUUACCUAUAUUUAUGGAUGGUGAGGCAAAUAGCAUUUUGCUAGUAAGUUCGUCUCAAGACAAAGGCAUACGCAUAUGGAAGAUGGCUUUAAGGGGUUCCAUAGCCAGUGAUGAGGGUACAUGCAAGAAAGAGGAAAUAAGUCUGGCAUCUUACAUUGAAGGUCCUGUACUCGUAACUGGCUCAUCCUCUUAUCAGAUAUCAUUAGAAUCUCUUCUAAUUGGACAUGAGGAUUGGGUGUACUCAGUAGAGUGGCAACCCCCUUCAACUGCAUCUGCCGAAGGGACCACCUAUCAUCAACCUCAAAGCAUUUUAUCUGCUUCAAUGGACAAGACCAUGAUGAUAUGGCAACCUGAAAGGAAAACUGGUAUCUGGAUGAAUGUGGUCACUGUUGGGGAGUUGAGUCAUUCUGCUCUAGGGUUUUACGGGGGUCACUGGAGCUCAGAUGGAAAAGCAAUUUUAGCACAUGGAUAUGGUGGAGCUUUCCAUAUGUGGAAAAAUGUUGGUGUCAACAUGGAUAAUUGGCAACCAGAAAAGGUUCCAUCUGGGCACUUUGCUGGAGUGACAGACAUUGCUUGGGCCAUGUCUAGUGAAUACAUAUUAUCAGUUAGUCAUGACCAGACAACUCGUAUUUUUGCCCCAUGGAAAAAUGAAGCUUCGUCUCCAAAUAGGGAGUCCUGGCAUGAAAUUGCUCGCCCUCAAAUUCAUGGUCAUGACAUUAACUGUGUCUCCAUCAUCCAAGGAAAGGGGAACCAUCGAUUUGUUAGCGGGGCAGAUGAGAAAGUUUCUAGAGUUUUUGAAGCUCCUUUAUCUUUUUUGAAGACAUUGAAUCAUGCCACUUCUCAUAGGUCUACUUCUCCUGAAGCCCUCCAAGUAGAUGUUCAGAUUUUGGGUGCGAAUAUGUCUGCUCUUGGUCUGUCACAAAAACCUAUUUACGUGCAGUCUGUGCAUGAGACUCUAGACAGAAAUAUGAGCGAUGGUCUUGACACCCUUGAAAGCAUUCCUGAUGCAGUUCCAGUUGUAUUGACGGAACCUCCCAUUGAAGAUCAACUAGCAUACAAUACUCUAUGGCCAGAGUCUCACAAACUUUAUGGUCAUGGAAAUGAGUUGUUCUCUUUAUGCUGUGAUCAUGAGGGGAAGCUUGUGGCUUCAUCAUGCA
rnacentral:misc_RNA from 1 species